rnacentral:misc_RNA from 1 species
UCUCCGUAGGUGAACCUGCGGAAGGAUCAUUAUUGUAUAACCGAGGUGCGAGGGCUGUCGCUGACCCGAAAGGUCGUGCACGCCCGAGUGCCCUCACACACAUCCAUUUCACCCCUAUGUGCACCACCGCGUGGGUCCCCCUUUGGCUUGUUCGGAGGGGGGCUUACGUUUUCACACAAACUUUGUAUGCAGUGUAGAAUGUAUUUUUUGUUUUUGCGAUCACGCAAUCAAUACAACUUUCAACAACGGAUCUCUUGGCUCUC